rnacentral:rRNA from 1 species
UUUCCUACGGGGCGCAGCAGUGGGGAAUAUUGCACAAUGGGGGAAACCCUGAUGCAGCGACGCCGCGUGAGUGAAGAAGUAUCUCGGUACGUAAAGCUCUAUCAGCAGGGAAGAAAAUGACGGUACCUGACCAAGAAGCCCCGGCUAACUACGUGCCAGCAGCCGCGGUAAUACGUAGGGGGCAAGCGUUAUCCGGAUUUACUGGGUGUAAAGGGAGCGUAGACGGCAGCACAAGUCUGGUGUGAAAUCCCGUGGCUUAACCC